rnacentral:rRNA from 1 species
UGGGGAAUAUUGGACAAUGGGCGAAAGCCUGAUCCAGCCAUGCCGCGUGUGUGAAGAAGGUCUUCGGAUUGUAAAGCACUUUAAGUUGGGAGGAAGGGCAUUAACCUAAUACGUUAGUGUUUUGACGUUACCGACAGAAUAAGCACCGGCUAACUCUGUGCCAGCAGCCGCGGUAAUACAGAGGGUGCAAGCGUUAAUCGGAAUUACUGGGCGUAAAGCGCGCGUAGGUGGUUUGUUAAGUUGGAUGUGAAAGCCCCGGGCUCAACCUGGGAACUGCAUCCAAAACUGGCAAGCUAGAGUACGGUAGAGGGUGGUGGAAUUUCCUGUGUAGCGGUGAAAUGCGUAGAUAUAGGAAGGAACACCAGUGGCGAAGGUGACCACCUGGACUGAUACUGACACUGAGGUGCGAAAGCGUGGGGAGCAAACA